AACUUGCAACAAUGGAUCUCUUGGUUCUCGCAGCGAUGAAGAACGCAUCGAAAUGCGAUAAGUAGUGUGAAUUGCAAAAUUCAGUGAAUCAUCGAAUCUUUGAACGCACAUUGCGCCUCCUGGUAUUCCGGGAGGCAUGCCUGUUCGAGCGUCAUUAAAUACCUCUCAAGCAGAUUUGCUUGGUCUUGGAAGAUGAGUUUGCUUGCAUUCUCCCUUCUGAAAUUCAAAGGCGGAUGAUCUCAUAUCCCCAGGCGUAGUAAGAUUAUCUUUUCGCAUGGUGUGUGUGAUAGUCCAGCCGUCAACCCCCAAUUUUUUCAAGGUUGACCUCGGAUCAGGUAGGGAUACCCGCUGAACUUAAGCAUAUCAAUAAGCGGAGGCU
rnacentral:misc_RNA from 1 species